GACGAAGGGGGCUAGCGUUGUUCGGAAUUACUGGGCGUAAAGCGAGUGUAGGUGGUUGUCCAAGUUGGAUGUGAAAGCCUUGAGCUCAACUCACGAAAUGCAUUCAGGACUGGGCGGCUAGAGGACCGGAGAGGAUAGAGGAAUUCCCAGUGUAGUGGUGAAAUACGUAGAGAUGGGGAAGAACACCAGGGGCGAAGGCGGCUAUCGGGACGGUUUCUGACACUAAGACUCGAAAGCGUGGGGAGCAAACAGG
rnacentral:rRNA from 1 species